AGCUCUAGUCGCAUAUAUUAAUGUUGUUGCAGUUAAAAAGCUCGUAGUUGAAUUUGUGGUAGGAAAAGAGCGUCUCAUUUUGCAUUUCAUGUAAUUGAGUUUUUGCUUUUUCCGGCCUUUUUUGUAUUGCUGGCAGUAGCCUAUUUAUUUAGUCUAUUGUCAUUUAAGGUAAUGCAACUUUUAUCAUAGCCAAAUCAAAAUGUUCCAAGUAGGUAUUAUCGCUUGAAUGUUUUCUAUGUCAUAAUAAGAUACGACUUUUCAUAGUAUUUUGUUGGUUUUGGUGUGAAAGGUAAUGAUUAAUAGGAGCAGUUUUGGGGUUGUCUGGAUUGACGAGUCAGAGGUGAAAUUCUUGGAUUUCGUCAAGACAAACAAGUGCGAAAGCAUUCAACAUGGAUGUUUCCAUCUA
rnacentral:rRNA from 1 species